rnacentral:miRNA from 1 species
UGAGAGUUCCCUGUUCUGGAUG